UACGUAGGGUGCGAGCGUUGUCCGGAAUUAUUGGGCGUAAAGGGCUCGUAGGCGGUUUGUCGCGUCGGGAGUGAAAACCAGGUGCUUAACACCUGGCUUGCUUUUCGAUACGGGCAGACUAGAGGUAUGCAGGGGAGAACGGAAUUCCUGGUGUAGCGGUGAAAUGCGCAGAUAUCAGGAGGAACACCGGUGGCGAAGGCGGUUCUCUGGGCAUUACCUGACGCUGAGGAGCGAAAGUGUGGGGGAGCGAACAGG
rnacentral:rRNA from 1 species